rnacentral:rRNA from 1 species
UGAGGAAUAUUGGUCAAUGGACGGAAGUCUGAACCAGCCAAGUCGCGUGAAGGAUGACUGCCCUAUGGGUUGUAAACUUCUUUUGUAUUGGGAGAAUAAGCCUUACGUGUAAGGUGAUGACUGUACAAUACGAAUAAGCAUCGGCUAACUCCGUGCCAGCAGCCGCGGUAAUACGGAGGAUGCGAGCGUUAUCCGGAUUUACUGGGUGUAAAGGGAGCGUAGGCGGGAUUGUAAGUUGGAUGUGAAAUGUACCGGCUCAACUGGUAAACUGCAUUCAAAACUGCGAUUCUUGAGUGAAGUAGAGGCAGGCGGAAUUCCUAGUGUAGCGGUGAAAUGCGUAGAUAUUAGGAGGAACACCGAUUGCGAAGGCAGCGUGCUAAUCUGUAUCUGACGCUGAGGCACGAAAGCGUGGGUAGCGAACA